rnacentral:ribozyme from 1 species
UGUUUGAUAUCGCUUAUUUUGCCAUGGUCCCUAUUUAACUAAUCUCGCUCUUUGUGGUCCGCCCAUUCUAGACUUCAUC